rnacentral:rRNA from 1 species
AAUGGAGGAAACUCUGAUGCAGCGAUGCCGCGUGAGUGAAGAAGGCCCUUGGGUUGUAAAGCUCUUUCGUCGGGGAAGAAAAUGACUGUACCCGAAUAAGAAGGUCCGGCUAACUUCGUGCCAGCAGCUGCGGUAAUACGAAGGGACCUAGCGUAGUUCGGAAUUACUGGGCUUAAAGAGUUCGUAGGUGGUUGAAAAAGUUAGUGGUGAAAUCCCAGAGCUUAACUCUGGAACUGCCAUUAAAACUUUUCAGCUAGAGUAUGAUAGAGGAAAGCAGAAUUUCUAGUGUAGAGGUGAAAUUCGUAGAUAUUAGAAAGAAUACCAAUUGCGAAGGCAGCUUUCUGGAUCAUUACUGACACUGAGGAACGAAAGCAUGGGUAGCGAAGAGGAUU